rnacentral:rRNA from 1 species
AACGAACGCUGGCGGCAGGCUUAACACAUGCAAGUCGAACGGUCUCUUCGGAGGCAGUGGCAGACGGGUGAGUAACGCGUGGGAACAUACCUUUCGGUACGGAACAACAGUUGGAAACGACUGCUAAUACCGUAUACGCCCUGAGGGGGAAAGAUUUAUCGCCGAGAGAUUGGCCCGCGUUGGAUUAGCUAGUUGGUGGGGUAAUGGCCUACCAAGGCGACGAUCCAUAGCUGGUCUGAGAGGAUGAUCAGCCACACUGGGACUGAGACACGGCCCAGACUCCUACGGGAGGCAGCAGUGGGGAAUAUUGGACAAUGGGCGCAAGCCUGAUCCAGCCAUGCCGCGUGAGGGAAGAAGGUCUUCGGAUUGAAACCUUUGUCAACAGGGAAGAAGCAAGUGACGGGUACCUGAAGAGGAAGCCACGGCUAACUACGUG